CUAGAUUUGACGUUUGUAUUGAAAUGUGUUUAUUACUAAAGGACGUCUGUGAUUUUCCUUGGCAAUUGGUGCCCAAAUGUUAUAUGGUAAGUUGUAUUGUCCUGUCAGAUUAUUGAGGUGAAGUGCAAGCUGGCCCGCGACUGUGGACGAAAAUUCUAAUACUUGGCUGUGGGAGAUAUACUGAACCAGUAAAUCCUGAAUUGAGGCAGUUCAUUCGUUCCACUGGCAUGAAGUUGGAAGCUGUAGACACGAGAAAUGCGGCAUCAACUUAUAAUAUCCUAAAUGAGGAGGGUAGAAUUGUAGCUGCAGCGCUUCUGCCUUAUGGAGUUUCUUCAUGACCCACCGCCCAGAGCCAGACUCGGUUGUUGUUAUGGAUGCCUCUAAAUUGCAGGAUUCUUCUACCUCUCAAAUCUUACAAGUAUUACUUAGCGCUUUGAUCUCUACUCAUUUGUAGAAUGACUACAACUAUCGAGUCACUUGGUCCUUUUUGCUGUAUAGAUAUACUGUUAUUGUCAUAACCUGCCAUCAAGAAUUAUAGUGUAUAUAUAUUAAAGUGUUGGCUAUUUUCUUGUACAUUGGUGUGAAACUUGUAUAAUUUCAAAUUUGUCAUUCUCAGCUACAUUAUUGUCA